GGGAGACUGCCGGUGACAAGCCGGAGGAAGGCGGGGAUGACGUCAAGUCCUCAUGGCCCUUACGGGUUGGGCUACACACGUGCUACAAUGGUAACUACAGAGGGCAGCGACUUAGCGAUAAGUAGCCAAUCCCAAAAAGUUAUCUCAGUUCGGAUUGCACUCUGCAACUCGAGUGCAUGAAGUUGGAAUCGCUAGUAAUCGUGGAUCAGCAUGCCACGGUGAAUACGUUCCCGGGCCUUGUACACACCGCCCGUCACACCAUGGGAGUUGGUUUUACCCGAAGACGGUGGGCUAACCUUUUAGGAGGCAGCCGGCCACGGUAAGGUCAGCGACUGGGGUGAAGUCGUAACAAGGUAGCCGUAGGGGAACCUGCGGCUGGAUCACCUCCUUUCAAGGA
rnacentral:rRNA from 1 species